ensembl:lncRNA
CGCGCUCCCAGCCCCUGGGUCCUACUGCCCCCUUCGCCAGGCUGGCUGCGGGGCACCUGGGAGCCCCCACCGGGACCAGCCAGUCCUAACGAGCACGGGCAUCUGUUGGCUCCGCAGAGACUCGGGAUCCUGGCUGUCCUGGAGAUGCACGCCUGGAUCCUGGGGAGUGAAUGAAUCCCAGCCCCCACAUACCAGCAAAUGAAUCCUCUGAGUCCCUGGCCUCAGCAAGCACCCAGGGACCCAACGAGAUGGUGUCCGUCUCUUUGGAGUGGCUGUCCUGGUUCUCCUGUGUUUCCUGCCUCAACUGUGCAUUGCUUAUCUGUUCCUACCGCCCUGCACACAGGAACCUGCCUGGCUGGAAAUCCUGUAGGUCCAAGAGAUGUGGACAACAGGACAUAGAAAACCAUCUAGUCCAACUGCAUCCACAGAGAAGAAAACUAAGCCCCAGGUCACACAGCAGGUCAAAGGUGAAGAUGGGCAGGAUCUCAUAUCCUAAACCCCAAACCUCCUUCCCCCACACCACCCUCUACCUAAGCAGCCAGAGAAGCAGGCCUAGUUCUGCCAUUGACUACAGGAACAGC